GAGUUUGAUCUUGGCUCAGAUUGAACGCUGGCGGCAUGCCUUACACAUGCAAGUCGAACGGCAGCACGGGAGCUUGCUCCUGGUGGGCGAGUGGCGAACGGGUGAGUAAUGCAUCGGAACGUAUCCUGGAGUGGGGGAUAACGUAGCGAAAGUUACGCUAAUACCGCAUAUUCUGUGAGCAGGAAAGCGGGGGACCUUCGGGCCUCGCGCUCUUGGAGCGGCCGAUGUCGGAUUAGCUAGUUGGUGAGGUAAAGGCUCACCAAGGCGACGAUCCGUAGCAGGUCUGAGAGGAUGAUCUGCCACACUGGAACUGAGACACGGUCCAGACUCCUACGGGAGGCAGCAGUGGGGAAUUUUGGACAAUGGGGGCAACCCUGGUCCAGCCAUGCCGCGUGAGUGAAGAAGGCCUCGG
rnacentral:rRNA from 1 species